rnacentral:rRNA from 1 species
CUGGCCGUAAACGAUGAACACUAGAUGUUGGGGGAAUCGACCCCCUCGGUGUCGUAGCUAACGCGUUAAGUGUUCCGCCUGGGGAGUACGCACGCAAGUGUGAAACUCAAAGGAAUUGACGGGGGCCCGCACAAGCGGUGGAGUAUGUGGUUUAAUUCGAUGCAACGCGAAGAACCUUACCAAGGCUUGACAUCCUGCGAAUCUCCAAGAAAUUGGAGAGUGCCUUUUGGAACGCAGUGACAGGUGGUGCAUGGCUGUCGUCAGCUCGUGUCGUGAGAUGUUGGGUUAAGUCCCGCAACGAGCGCAACCCACGUUUUUAGUUGCCAGCAUUAAGUUGGGCACUCUGGAAUGACUGCCGGUGACAAACCGGAGGAAGGUGUGGACGACGUCAAGUCAUCAUGCCCCUUACGCCUUGGGCUACACACGUACUACAAUGCUGCGGACAAAGAGUAGCGAUCUUGCGAAAGUUAGCUAAUCUCGUAAACCGUGGCUCAGUUCAGAUCGUAGGCUGCAACUCGCCUACGUGAAGGAGGAAUCGCUAGUAAUCGCAGGUCAGCAUACUGCGGUGAAUACGUUCCCGGGCCUUGUACACACCGCCCGUCACACCAUGGAAGUUGGCCAUGCCCGAAGUCGUUACUCUAACCUUUUGGAAGAGGGCGCCGAAGGCAGGGCUAAUGACUGGGGUGAAGUCGUAACAAGGUAGCCGUAGCGGAAGCUGCGGCUGGAUCACCUCCUAA